UAUGCAUCUUGUAAUAGUAUACUAUAGAUGAGUAAUAUGCAAUCUUGACAUGUACUUGUGUUAUUAAUAAGUACUUAAAGGUGAAGAAUAUUAAAUGUUGUUUUACCAGCAUGAUAUCUCAUUUUGAUAUCACAAUAAUAACUAAUAAUUCUGUUCAUCAAGUUAGGCUGUUACAAUGAUAAUGAUCCUUUGUAAUGGUUCCUAGCCUAGAAAUCCAACACAGUACAUGUAAUUUAGUCUGGUUUGGUAGAGGUACCAUUUACAUCGCAAGUUGUACUAAGGGUUAUGAUACAUAAUUACAUGUACCAUUCACAUGUAUACUAAGAAAUGAUUAUAUUCUGUUAGCUGCAAUAAUACUAAUGACUAUCAUGAUAGCUACUAAAUACUGAUGUAAUUAUUAAUAAUGCAAUUCUCUAUUCUUGUUGUUGUAUUCCUGGACUACUAUUCUUGUAUAUCUUUGUCUCAUAUUGAUAUUUCUUGCUUUCUUUUGCCUUUCUCUCCACCUAGUACAUGUACAUGUACAUCUAACUUUUGCUCUUUCUCUUUUUGUCCUAUAAAGGAUUCUCCUGUCUCUCAUGUUCUUUGUCUUUUUGUGUUAACACAAGCUUAUAGUAUCAUAUUGUAACAGUUUUGGGUCACAGAUGCAUUGCUUGUCAAGAUUCAAGAUCCCAUGAAAUCCACCUGCUUUUUAUUUUUGGCAAAAGAUGUGGGAACAGAACAAUCCUAACAACAUGAUGGUAAGACACAAUUUACAUUACAGUGCAUGUUUUAUUCAGUGCA